CUUGGGCGUUAAUUGAAGAAUGGGCCGCGUGCAGGGUAACCUGCACAGAUAAACCUGUCAAAUUCGGGGAAGCCGCAGGCGGUGGUAAUCCCGAGCCAAGCCGGGGAUCCGAAAGGGUCACGGAAGGUGUAGAGACUAGUUGGCAGGCAUCCCGGUAUUUGGUGGGAUGAAGGGAUAGUCCAGACUACAAACCCGGG
rnacentral:ncRNA from 1 species